CAUCGCAUUUCGAAACUUGAAGAAUCAGAGUGUUCUUUAACUUCUUCAGGUCACAAGCCAAACGAAAAGGAUUUUACAAAUACUGAACCUAGUCAAACGGUUAAUAUUGAGAGUCUGCAAAAUGAUUCCUUUCUGGGAAUGUUGCAAAUCGUCACCGCUCAUAAAUGGUAUAUUAAUUGUACCAUUUUAGUAAAUAAGGAAUUCUUUAUCACUAAUGUCGCCAUGAUUGACAGCGGGGCAGACGUUAGUUGUAUUCAAGAAGGGUUAAUCCCUACAAAAUAUUUUGAGAAAAUCCUACUCCUUCAGAAAUGGAAUUUGACAUUAACUCUGUUUAGUGAUGAUUAGACAAGUUAUUGAUUUUAGUCCUGGUUCGCAGGCACGAAAAUAUAUUCAACAAGAAUUCUUUACUAAAAAAUGGUUAACUUUUAGAACUUGGUUCUUUGAAACAUUUUCUAACGAUGAACUACGGAAUAUUUCUGAAGAAUUUUAUGAAAUGUGUGCUCUGCAUAAUCAAAUUAUCUUUUUUGUUCCAUGGUUUAUGUCUGCAUCUCUACCCUCUUAUAUUAACCUCCUUGAGCGCUCCUACCAACAUCCUGAUGGCACCACUACUCAAGCUCAAUAUCCUCCACAAUCUUCAUUUAUCUUGCCCAAUAACACGGGUAUGACUUUCUCGGCUUUUCAAAAAUUUAUCAAAGACGAUAUUGGAAAAAUAACGGUUUCUGAAAUCAAUAAUCUUUUUUCUCAAAACAAUUAUUUAAGUCUCUAUGUAAAAGUUUUGGGUGAACAUAUCUCCUCUUUAGAUACUAAACUCGACGACCUCAUUUUAUUAGUUAAUAAACUCAGUACCCAAACAAACUCUUCUAAUAUUGCCUCAACUUCCAAAACCCCUGCGGCAGAAGAAGGAAUCAUUCUUUCUAAACCUGGUAUUCAACGACCUCUAGAAAUAGAGGGAUUUACUAAGGCUUCGCCCCUAGAACAACUAGAAAAUCUCUUAGAUAAAAAAUUCUCUGGACUCAAUAUCCGACCUCUGACUAUGUCCAAAGAUCAUAUCCAAACUAUUGAGUCAAAUUUUGCGGAUCAUCUCGCAUCCUCCGAUCAUCCAGGAGAAGUUCUCUCUUCCGAACUUUAUAAACUCAGAGGACUAAUGAAAACACAAUCCGGUAAAAAAUUCGCUGAUAUUCCCCGCAUGUCUACCGCUUAUUAUCCUCGUCCCACUCCUCAAGAUGUUCUGAUCGAAGAAAGGGAUUGGAAUCAAACAAACACUUCGUAUAGCGGCGACGCUAUUUACGAAUGGAAUAUUGAUGGUCUUUCUGAUCGCCAAAUCUCUAUUCUAAUUCAUCGUAUGUCCAUGUAUGCUACUAUUUGUCUGGCCACAAAAGCCACUGAUAGAAACGCCAAAACUGACCAAACAAUCUGUAAAAUGAUUGUUGCUGGAUUCACUGGUCAACUCCGUGGCUGGUGGGAUAAUUUCCUUGAUGACACUAAACGCGCGGCGAUUUUUGACGCCACCAAUGACAAAGAGGGCAAAGAUAAUCUUGGCCGCACUCUUGCAGCAGGCCGAUCUGAUGCCGUUUAUACCCUCAUGCUGACUAUUAUUGAACACUUUGGCGGUAGGUUCACUAAUCAUCAUGAAAAUAUUCGCACUCUUCUUAAUGGGUUAAAAUGCCGCCACUUAGGCGAAUUUCGUUGGUAUAAAGAUACCUUUCUUAGCCGGGUUAUGGAUUUACCCGAAAGUAGAUACGAACACUGGAAAGCCAAAUUCAUUGAUGGUCUUCCUCCCCUUUGUGCGGAACGGGUUCGCAAAACUCGGCGCGGAGCGUAUGGUGAGAGCCCCUAUGCUGACAAAACUUAUGGUCAAUUGAUCGUAGCUUGUACUCAAGAAGGGUUAGCCCUUUGUAACGAGUUAAAACUGGCUAGACAGAUCAAAAUUGAUAAACUCCGAGAAAAAACUCAAUUAGGUAAUUUCUGCGAACAAUUUGGCAUGGAAAAACCCUUAAUUCGAAAACCUUACAAAUCUUCCACAUAUCAAUCUAAACGUCCUCGGCGACGUAGUAAGGAGCAGCGAGAAAUUCGUAAAUCCUUCCGAAAAUCUACUCGAUUUGCUAAAAAUCAUUCAAAACGAGACUUAGCAAAGAUUAAAUGCUACAAAUGCAAUCAAUACGGUCAUAUUUCUCCAAAUUGUAAAUUACAAAAAUUAAAAACCCUGAAUCUCUCUGAUGACAUUCAGAAUCAAGUCUAUAAUUUGUUGUACACUUCUGAUUCUGACUCCGAUUCAGACUCCACUUCUGAAAAUGAUUUUCAACUACCUGACUCUGAUAAUCAUCUUGAACAACCUGAAAAAUGUGUUGAUUGUGAUAAUCAUGAUUGCAAUUGUGAUGAAGUAAUGUACAAACUUCAAGCUCAAUUUGAAGAUGUUGAUUUAGAUGUUAAAACCAUUACUUCUGAAAAUGUUCUCGAAUUGUUAAAGGAAGUCACGGACGAAAAGCUUCGUGACAAAAUUUUGCAUUUAGCCACUCCAAAAUCUUCUAGUUCUACUGUUUCAGCACGAGAUAAUUUUGAAACUCAGCCUAUGGCAUAUUCUUUGGAUGAAGUUCAUCGAAGGUUAGCUUUAAGCAAAAUUCCCGGUCGCGAUACCACUUUUAAUGAUUUAAAAAUCGAAGUUGAAAAACUAAAAAGGGAAAUUAUUUCUUUAAAACAAAAUCAGAUAAUUACUGAGCAUCGCAUUUCGAAACUUGAAGAAACUGAUUGUUCUUCUUCAGGUCACAAGCCAAACGAAAAAGAUUUUACAAAUACUGAUCUUAGUCAAACGGUUAAUAUUGAUAGUCUGCAAAAUGAUUCCUUUCUAGGAAUGUUGCAAAUCGUUACUGCUCAUAAAUGGUAUAUUAAUUGUACCAUUUUAGUUAAUAAGGAAUUCUUUAUCACUAAUGUCGCCAUGAUUGACAGUGGGGCAGACGUUAGUUGUAUUCAAGAAGGGUUAAUCCCUACAAAAUAUUUUGAAAAAACUACUCACCUCGUUAAAUCUGCAACUGGUCACUCACUUGACAUUAAUUAUAAACUGCCUCAUGCUCAUAUUUGUCGUGACAAGAUAUGCAUUCCUCACUUUUUCUUUUUAGUGAAAAAUCAGAUUUAUCCUCCUAUUAUUUUAGGAACCCCGUUUAUAAAUGCUAUAUAUCCCUACACUCAUAUAGACGAAAAGGGAUUUAGAGCUACUUAUAAAAAUCAGCCUAUUUCUUAUUCUUUUGUU
rnacentral:lncRNA from 1 species